UCAGAGGUGUAUUAAGCUUCCAGAAGCAGCAGCUUACUUCAUUAGAUGCUAAGGUGAUCUUGUAAGGUAGAGUUUGAACAAGCUUAGUACAUAUUUGCAAAAUAUCAUCUUCCUUGUUCUGCUUGGGGUUCAGAAUCUUAAGGACUACCAGUGUGUCAUGGGCUUGAACAAAAAGUGUCUCAUCCAUAAGUAAAUUUACUACCCACAGCUGAGCUAGCAGCAGCUGCCACAUUUCCUUGUCAGUUUGUCACCUUGGCCUUGGACACCCAUUCUCAACAGCUGGAACCUCCUUCAUUGUUCUGUCAUCCAAUUCUUGACACCAUCACAAGAAAUUCAUCAGCAACCUUUUUUGUUAAAGGAGAUGAAGACUGUUACCUUUGUUUUCCAUAUUGAAAAAGUUCUUGGGAAAUAAAAUUUGCUGCCCGUGAGUUAUCAGAUACAUCCUGGGGAAAUAAAGUCCAGGGAAAGCUACCUCAUGUUUCCCAAUUCCCACUGUAAAUUCUGUCUGGGAGAUGUGCAGGAAACUGUAGGACAUUUGCCCAGAGAACAUUUCAGAAAGAUCUCUUCCAGAGUGCUAGUUUGAGCGCAAGGAAAAAAAAAGUAUAAGUUUUUCUUCAUGCAUUUCAGCUUGUAACAUGACAAACAUGUUAUGAUAUCAGACUGUCUGUAUCAGUGUCUUGGCACAUGUUAUACUUAUGGUGUAAUUGUGUUCUGCCCACAUGGGCUGCAGAGCAAGGCACUUUAAAAUGCUGGGUUGCAGGGAGCCAGGCUGAACUAGCAGUUUUUAAGUGUCCUGGGGACAUUGAGAUGAGGGAGAGAUUCCCUGAUUCCAAGGUCUCAGUGGCCAGGGAUUUCUAAAAGCCAUGUCUGCAGCUGGGCUGUCCCAGGGUUAUUCUGACAAUCAGCUGAUUGUCAGACCUUGGCCCAACAGCCCAGGCUCUUCAAUCGAUCUAGAACUAUUGGGGCUGGGUCUGAUAAUCAGCAGAUUGUCACACCUGGCCCUCACAAUCUAGGGUCUCAAACUGGACCUGGGAGCAUUGGGGCUUUGGGGCCCAGUUGAUUGUUGUACCUCCUCUUGACCCAGCCAGGACUGCCAGGGCUCAGUCUGACAAUCAAGUAAUUAAUUAUUGAACCUGGCCCCAAGAGCCUCUGGCCUGGAAUCUACUGGUGGUUGGGGGUAGCCCUGUGUGUCCAGAACAGAGCCUCCCCUGCCCAAUCUGCAGGGUCAGGCUGGGGGCAGCUGAGCAGUGGCUCACUUGGGAUCAGAGGAAUUUUUUAAAGCCCCAUCACAAAUAUCGCUGUCCUGCCAUGCCAGAAAUGCAUGGCAGGAGGCACGAUGUUUGGCAUGGGGCAUAAAAUUCCUUUGAUCCCAACUGCACCAUUGUUUUAAUAUCUGCCAGGGUCCUUAUACUGGGUCCAAAGCAAAAGGCACGCGCAGUAGAGAAUGGGGAGCCUCAAGGCUUACAGCUGUCUUUUUUCACUGCAGUGUCAGUUGUGCUAAAACUAAACAAAUGUCCCAGUAUGAAUGUACCAUAAAAAAAGAAAGCAUUUUCUCUGUUGUAUAGACCAAUUCUAUAUUUUUGUAGUAUCUUAAUCUAAUGAUAAAGACUGUAUACUGUUGGAAUUUUUGCCUAUCUUUGAAACGAAUGCCUCAGUGCCUUACAGAAUUCAGUAAUGUUUAUAACUUCAUAUCAACAUACUUUAAUGAAUUUGAAUAACUUAGUAUAAUGUAAUACAAUUCUAAAUGAUAGUACUGAUGUGGCACAUUGUUGUAGAUGCUGCUAUCCAAAAUCUUCAGAAGUUGUAUGAAGAGGUAAUGAUGCGGAAGCUAUUGUUCAUACAGGAAGCUGUCCUCACUUUGACAUCUAUAGAAAAACAUUUAACUAAAUCUAUGUAAUCUUUCUUUCCUGCUGACAGUUAGUGAAAAGUUGUUGCUGACAGGGAUAGACAGAAACUAAAACUACUGUGUUUUGGUAUUUAUCAUUUUUUGGUAUUUAUCAUUCUUAUAUUCCUUUUAUUUCAAAAUAAAAACUUAGUUAAAACAAA